rnacentral:rRNA from 1 species
AUUGAACGCUGGCGGCAGGCCUAACACAUGCAAGUCGAACGAGUGGCGGACGGGUGAGUAAUGUCUGGGAAACUGCCUGAUGGAGGGGGAUAACUACUGGAAACGGUAGCUAAUACCGCAUACCAUCAGAUGUGCCCAGGUGGGAUUAGCUAGUUGGUGGGGUAACGGCUCACCUAGGCGCCGAUCCCUAGCUGGUCUGAGAGGAUGACCAGCCACACUGGAACUGAGACACGGUCCAGACUCUUACGGGAGGCAGAAGUGGGGAAUAUUGCACAACGGGCGCAAGCCUGAUGCAGCCAUGCCGCGUGGUUGAAGAAGGCCGUCGGGUUGUAAAGCAUUUUCAGCGGGGAGGCGUUACCCGCAGAAGAAGCACCGGCUAACUCCGUGCCAGCAGCCGCGGUAAUAC